GGUGCGAAUAUUGGCACAAUGGGCGCAAGCCUGAUGCAGCCAUGCCGCGUGUGUGAAGAAGGCCUUCGGGUUGUAAAGCACUUUCAGUCGUGAGGAAGGGGGGAGUGUUAAUAGCACUAUCAUUUGACGUUAGCGACAGAAAAAGCACCGGCUAACUCCGUGCCAGCAGCCGCGGUAAUUAAAAAAAAA
rnacentral:rRNA from 1 species